GCUYUAACACAUGCAAGUCGAACGAGAAAUCCGACACUUCAGGCAACUUGAGUGUUAGAGAGUAAAGUGGCGCACGGGUGAGUAACGCGUGGGUAACCUACCCCUGAAUUUGGAAUAACCCCGCGAAAGCGGGACUAAUACCGGAUGUGGUUCCAUGAGCCUCGGCUUUUGGAAUUAAAGGUGACCUCUUCAUGAAAGUUGCCGUUCAGGGACGGGCCCGCGUCCCAUCAGCUAGUUGGUAGGGUAAUGGCCUACCAAGGCGAUGACGGGUAGGGGACCUGAGAAGGGUGGCCCCCCACACUGGCACUGAAAUACGGGCCAGACACCUACGGGUGGCAGCAGUAGGGAAUAUUGGACAAUGGGCGAAAGCCUGAUCCAGCAACGCCGCGUGCACGAUGACGGCCUUUCGGGUUGUAAAGUGCUUUUUAAGGGAGAUGAGAAAAGGACAAGUAUCCCNUUGAAUAAGCCUCGGCGAACUACGUUGCCAGCAGCCSCNGGUAAUACA
rnacentral:rRNA from 1 species